AACAAGCUGGAGAGACGGCGAACAGGGCAAGUGGCUGAGGGGCCUUGGGGCUGGGCAGGGGGCAAUGGGGAGUCACGUGAGGUGCCUCUGGGGGGCCCCCCAAGGCAGUGGGGCCCCCAGACAACUGUCUCCCCCUGCCCUAUCGUUGUUACGCGCCUGCUUGAGGUAGUGGACCAAGAUGUUUAGAAAGACUUAGAGUUUCCUGUUCAGAUCAAUGGUCACAUUCAAAAGAGAACAGAACAGUGCUCUGAUCUGGAGCUGAGGGGGGAGAAAUGUGAUGAAAAGCAGACCUCCAUCAUCUUGAAGCAAGAGCAUUCUGUCCACAACAUCUAACAGAUGCAGUAAAAAGGGAAGCUUCACCUGCUGAAUUUCUGUUGGUUGUGCAGAUGGUAAAGGGCAGAAUGAAAAGCCAACAAGAAGAUACAGCAAUGGGGACUCUUUGCAUACAGAGAAGUUCAACAAUCUCCUCAUGAUUUUUGUCCAAGUUGUAUUGAAUGGGCAGAAAAGAUCUGAAUGGGGAUGACCACCUACAUGCUACUCAUCAUGACCAGCGCAUGUGACAAGCUGCAUCUGCUUACAGCUGAAUUAAGGCCAAUAGCUCAUUGACCUAAGUAUUACAAUUCUAAGGUCUCUCUUAACAUUGAGCCGUCCAGCCCUUUGGCUUCCUGACCAUGUCAUCACACAACAGAAAACCUGAUCAGACCUUCAUCAGAGUACUUAACAAGAAUGGUGGGGUGCAGAGGCAGGAGGAGAGAAACCAAGAAGGAAAAUUCAAGCCAGAUGAUUAGAUUUUACCAUUGAACAACAAUACAGAGGUCAUACUAAUGGGCUGCUAGCCACACAAUUAAUUCAUGUUAUCUGUCUCUGAAAGAUAGAGCCACUGACUGUACAUAAACAUGUUUUCAAAAAGCGAAGGUGAUCCCUGCAACAAGAUGGACGUACAAUCAUACAGCUUGCUCUCCUAUGUUUUCAUGACAUGUGGAUGAUUAUGUAUCCCUGUGCAGAAGUUAAUAUCUCCAUAUCUACUGAAUGUAUUCCAGCUAGCCACACCCUCCACACUGACCAUGCCUGUUGGUCGCAUCCCUGAACAUCCACACAUGAAGCAUUUGUCAGUGCAGGGCAGCACUGGGUUUAUUUGUUUAUGUAUUUAUGUAUCGUUCAUUUGUUAUACUGUGUUCCAUAAUGUAUCACAAGGCAGUUUUCAAAAGUUAAAAUACAAUAAAAGUCCAUAAAAGCUA